UUUUUUUUUUCAAAGUUUGAAGUUUUAUGCUGUGUCCAUGUGUCAUUUUGGAGUAGUUGAGCAAGUUGGUUAUUCAAACUAUCCCACAAACGCAUAUCACUUCUUAAAGAAUGCACCCCGGGGUAUUUCAAAAGGCAUAUUUUGAACUUUUUUUGCUAUUUUAUACCAAGUGUAGUGGUAAAACAUUUUUUUUCUGCCUUUUUGACACACACUGUGAUCUGUAUUUUGAUCACUGUAGGCAGUGAUCAACUGGCAGGGAACGGGUUAAUUUUUGUCAGGACUGGUUAAAGGGGGAUAGGAGGAUUUUUUUAAACUUAUUUUGAACGUUAAUUAAAAAAAAAAAAAAGUUUUAAUUUCUUAAACAGUUUAAAACUGUUUUUUACUGUUAACCCCUAGCUGUCCUAACACCAAACCCCCCAAUUCCCUACUAACAUCCACACAAAAUAAACGUUAACCCUCAAGGGUUAAAAAAAAAAAAAAAAAAUCAGAUCACAGUAAAAUACUGUAGUGAGUGAUUAACUUUUAUACAGGAAGAUCAGCAGUCUUGAUCUGUCUCCCUGCACUUCACACUGAAUGUGGAAGCGCAGGGAGGUGGAUCAGGAGUCCCUGCAGCACAUGUUCUUGCUUUCAAAUCUCUACAUAAUGCUACUCCCACCUAUCUAUCCUCCCCAAUACACAAGUAUGUGCCGUCUAGGCCCCUAUGCUCUGCCGAAGACCUGCAUCUAUCCUCUGUUCGUACUCCCACCUCUGAUACCCCCAAGUCCCUUACUGGUCUCCCAUCCUGUUUUUUAGUGGUCUUUCCUCCCCCAAGUCCAUUACUGGUCUCCCAGCCUGUUUUUAGUGGUCUUUCCUCCCCCCAAGUCCCUUACUGGUCUCCCAUUCUGUUUUUUUUAGUGGUCUCCCAUCCUGUUUUUUUUUAGUGGUCUUUCCUCCCCCCCAGUCCCUUACUGGUCUCCCAUCCUGUUUUUAGUGGUCUUUCC